rnacentral:lncRNA from 1 species
AGGCCAGUUUGAAGUACAUAGCAAAACUCUGUCUCAAAAAAUAUGUAUGUGGGGGCCAGGGAUUUAGCUCAGUGGUUUCACCCCCUGCUGCCCAAGCGCAAGGACCCGAGUUCAAUCCUCAAAAAAAUAUAUAUAUAUGUGUGUGUGUGAAAGGACUGAGGAUGAAGCUCAGUGCCAAGGCCUCUGGUUCAAUUCUCAGUGCUCCCCAAACUAAUGACUACUGAUCAGGGAUUUGGGUGAGGAGACGGGUCCCAGGGUUGCCUUCAUCCCCUCCCUACCUCUCCUCAGGCUUUGGAGGGAGUGUGAAGGCCCCAAAGCCAGAUAAGAGUCGGUUCCAUGACUGUCAUCUCUCUAACUCCUGUCAUCUGUCCCUGACUCUUUCAUGGGGCUCUGUCACAGCCCCACCCCACCCUUAUUCUCUCUGGCUCUGUCUCCCCAGGAUAUGGAACCAGGCCAGGAGCUGCAGCCUUCCUAGGGAUGGGAGCCCAGCCAGCCCCUGUGUCUCAGAAUGGCCAUGGACCAGCUCCAUCCUCCCUGAAUCUCCCCCUCACACACCACUUUCCUUCCAGGAUUUGCCAAUGGGAACAGCCUGGCAGCCCAGCCAGGUCCUUGAUCUUCACUAUUUUCUUUUGCUCUGUGUCCCUUGGACUUGCGAACAGGAAUCGGCUGGGAGCUGGGGCCUUCUCAGGAGCAGAGACCUAGCCAGGUGAGACCCUGAGGUUCCAGGAGCAUGGGUGUUCCCACAGGUUAGGGGUACUGAUGCAGGGACUCCAUGGUCUCC